rnacentral:rRNA from 1 species
AGAGUUUGAUCAUGGCUCAGAUUGAACGCUGGCGGCAUGCCUUACACAUGCAAGUCGUACGAGCUCGAUCUUCGGAACGGGUUAGUGGCGCACGGGUGAGUAACACGUAGGUGACCUACCCCAGAGUGGGGGAUAACUUCUCGAAAGAGAGGCUAAUACCGCAUACACUCGGUCAUUCAUUUGGCCGAGCAAAGCUCCGGCGCUUUGGGACGGGCCUGCGUCCGAUUAGCUAGUUGGUAGGGUAAUGGCUUACCAAGGCUUUGAUCGGUAGCUGGUCUGAGAGGACGAUCAGCCACACUGGCACUGACACACGGGCCAGACUCCUACGGGAGGCAGCAGUGAGGAAUAUUGGGCAAUGGGCGAAAGCCUGACCCAGCAACGCCGCGUGAGGGAUGAAGGCCUUCGGGUUGUAAACCUCUUUUCUGGGAGAAGAGACAAGGACGGUAUCCCAGGAAUAAGUCUCGGCUAACUACGUG